rnacentral:tmRNA from 1 species
GGGGGCGACCUGGCUUCGACGGGGGCAUAGAAGCCCGAGACGCGUGCCGAGCUGUCAGUGACUCGUAAAACCGCUGGCAAAGACACAAAAGCCAACGACAACGUUGAGCUCGCGCUGGCUGCCUAACAACAGUACUUAGCGCGCGGUCCUCCUGCUCUCGGCCCGUGGGGUGGGGUAGGACCGUCAUAAUGCGGGCUGGCUGCCGAGGGUGCCUGGGCCCGAGGUGGCGAGAUCUUUCCAGGACCGGCUCGUAGGAUCCCGUCCGUGGGAGCCUGCGGGACGUAGCAAAGCGCGGACUACGCACGUAGGGUCGAAGGGCCGAAGGCUUUCGGACGCGGGUUCGAUUCCCGCCGCCUCCACAG